rnacentral:rRNA from 1 species
CUGGCGGCACGCCUAAUACAUGCAAGUCGAACGAAGUAGCAAUACUUAGUGGCAGACGGGUGAGUAACAUGUAGGUAUCUUCCCAUUGGUGAGGAAUAACACGAGGAAACUUGUGCUAAUACCUCAUAAGUCUUUACGGAGAAAGCUUUAUGCGCCGAUGGAUGAGCCUGCACUUGAUUAGUUUGUUGGUAGGGUAAUGGCCUACCAAGACAAUGAUCAAUAGCUGAUUUGAGAGGAUGAUCAGCCACAUUGGGACUGAGACACGGCCCAAACUCCUACGGGAGGCAGCAGUAGGGAAUCUUGCACAAUGGGGGAAACCCUGAUGCAGCGAUGCCGCGUGAGUGAAGAAGGCCUUUGGGUUGUAAAGCUCUUUCGUCGGGGAAGAAAAUG